rnacentral:rRNA from 1 species
GUGCCGCAGGGAAACCAAUAAGCGCCCCGCCUGGGGAGUACGGGCGCAAGCCUGAAACUCAAACCAAUUGACGGGGGCCCGCACAAGCGGCGGAGCAUGUGGCUUAAUUCGAUGCUACCCGAAGAACCUUACCAGGGCUUGACAUGCUGGCUUAAGCCUGCCCGAAAGGGAGGGGUGGGACGGUUUCCGCCGUCCAGCCAGCACAGGUGGUGCACGGCUGUCGUCAGCUCGUGCCGUGAGGUGUCCGGUUAAGUCCGGCAACGAGCGCAACCCCCGCCACCAGUUGCCAGCGGGUAACGCCGGGCACUCUGGUGGGACUGCCCGCGUAAGCGGGAGGAAGGUGGGGAUGACGUCAAGUCCGCGUGCCCCUGAAGUCCUGGGCUGCACACAUGCUACAAUGCCCGCUACAAAGGGUUGCGAACCCGCGAGGGGGAGCGAAUCCCAAAAAAGCGGGCUCAGUUCGGAUCGCAGGCUGCAACUCGCCUGCGUGAAGGCGGAGUCGCUAGUAACCGCCGGUCAGCAAUACGGCGGUGAUACGUUCCCGGGC